UCUAAGCAAAGGCAGAGCGCGCUCUAUAGAUCUCACCCUUAGAGUUAAAACGAAAAGUCUGGCAAAGUCAAAGCAUGCUCUAUUAAUCUUAGCCCCAGGGCACAAAAGCUAAAUCUAACGUUAAUAUACAACAUUCACAUAAUUUUUAGUUAAAAAAUUUGAUUGUAGUUUUUUUUUAAUUUUUUUACAACAAAGCGUAUUAAAGUAAACAAGGAAUGCAAUUCAAGCAACACUAGCGCCUUUUUUCAAUAUAUAAAAAUAACUACAUACUUACAAUUAUUUUUAGAAUACCAAAGCAAUGUGUUUAAUUAUUAUUAAUAUUUAAUGUUUAAAAUACAAAAACUUUUGUGUGCUUUGUAGCAGGACCAAUAGAAAAUAUUUAUAAAUUAUUUCCAUCUUUACAUAGUUCUUUACAUGACUUUUUAUACAGCGUGACUACAUUUCAAAAAUAUUUAUAAUGAUAACAAAAUAUAUCAAUACUACUUUUUUUUUUUUUGUAAAAAGAAAUAACCAUACAUAAUACAAAAGUCAUUUAAUUAUUAUAUUAUGUAAUAUACUUUCUCCGGUUAUAUGUCUGUCUGUUCGUUACCCAUAUGUUCGCGCAUCGUUCAUCCGACUGAGUUGAAACUUUGUUCAGUAUUUGUCGGCACUUGCGUGAAGGUUUCGCAAAUAGAUCGAGAAAUAGGGAUGGUGCCUAACUGCCUACUAGUCAAAUCAGCGACUUUUUAUCAAACGCUCGCUUAGUAAGGGUCAGGAAGCUUGUAUGAAAUAUAUAGAUUAUAGAAGUGACGUCAUAAACAUUUGACGAAACUUGGCGUACCUACUUUUUUAGCUAAAUCGAUAAUUUAAAAUGGUUAGCAAACUUAAACCUAACAGGGGAACACGAUUUUAUUUGAUAUAGGCAUCAUCCCAAAUAGGUUCAGCGUUCCUUUUGCUGUACAUAUAAAAUAUAAGGUUUAUAAGGUUGUCUGUCAAAUAAAACGGUGCGGAGCGGUGAUGGUUUUUACGUAUGUAAGGACGCUCGAUAUCCGGUGGUACAUCCUGUAUUAACCAUUCCUCCAAAUUUCCCAUGUUUGGGCACAGGUGUCCCUGCAGCCAACUACCACAAACCUAUUUGUAGCUUUCGUAAACCUAACGAUAUGCAGAAAUUAGUUAGGUCUCAUUGAUUCUUAGGUGAUGGUUUUAUUCGAGCAAUCAAAUUUUUAAGAGAUCACGUAGUCUAUUAAUAAAUAAUCUGUUCGGUCUGCUUAAUACAUCUACGGUCCGCUCCGCUUCAGAUACAAGCACACUUAAAAAGACGUUGGUCGACUAAACUCAACUCCAUUCCGCUCCGCUUAAGUUGGUAUACACCCUUAACGCUUUAAAUAAAUUAUAAUACAUAUUUUGGAAACCUUUAGCAAAGCUUUUGGCUACACGCCAUUUACUACAUUACUGUAAAAAUUUUGAGGUAGUUUUUUAUUCAACCAAUUCAUUAAUGUUUUGAUUAUAAAUAAGUAAUUAUGUUUUUUUAAAUAAUAUUUCUUAAAUAAAUUAGGUAUAAUUAAUUAAUAAGCUACCACGAACUCCGGUCCAAUUUAAAUCAUAGAUCACUGGAAGGUUAAUAUGUUGACGAGAUAAAAUAGAGACGCAAUAGAAGGUACUCGUAGUCCAUACAACUCGUAAUAAUAGGUGCACUCACACAUACUACUCCUAAUACGUAAUUAAAUCAGUUCGCUUGUAUCCUCCAUACAAGAUUUAAUUAACUAUAAUUAUUACUGAAACACCAGCCUGUCGGCACUCAAUUUGCGUCUGGAUAACUAUUAAAAGGCCGGUUGAGCUGAGCAGUGAGACUGGCUGAGGUCUGGUCUGAGCAAAGCCUAUUUGAAACUCUUUGCGGAGUGAUCCUCCUGUAUCUGGAAGGUACUAUUAAGUAUUAGAUGAAAAGAAAGAAGGUUCAGACUUAUGGGCAAUGUCGACAAUCGCAUGAAUGUAAAUAGGCACGAGUUUCUCCACUCGCUUUGUCUUUAUUUGACUAAGGUGACCCAAUACCAUCUGAGCUGAAAAGAGUCAACCAAAUGCCGGCCGAGCAGAAAAAAUCGCCAGAGUGAGGGAACUCUCGGUUUGAUCCUGAAUCGAUGUUAUGUCAAAUAUUAGGUGACGCUACCUAGCGUCAAAUGUAGGAAAAUUUGACGCCUGCCAGUGAUGUCGAAGCCUCGUCGUUUCGUUACAAGUUUCCUAACUGUCAUGAACUGUGGUCUCGCUGAGUUCAACUCAUGCCUCUUUAAAGUCUAGGUGCAACUGUUAUCGGGCGUAGUAUUGAGCGGACCUUCUGUUACCUCUCUAAUCUCUAUUAUAUGGCAUUGCUGAGCCAUGCUUGUUAGCGAAGGAAAUUAAAAGCUAAAAUACAAAAUGUUAGAAAAAUACUAAAGCCUCUUUUCACUGAUAAAGCAUAUUUUAUUUCUCGUACGAAGCUCGUAAGUUAUAAUCGACGCGUUCAAAAAUUUUAGGAAACCCGAUUAAAUACUUAAACCACUACACAUCACUAAAACUAAAUUCACAAUCUUACAAGUAAUAACGAUGCCGAUAGUUUUUAUAACAUUUAAUAUUUUAAAAGUCAUUUAUCUCGUUUAACAGCUAGGACCAGAGACAGUUAAGCCGUUUUGGAAUACAACAAAAUAUAAACGAUAAUAAUUGUGAGAAGAAAAUCUAAAUUUUCGUAUGAGAUUACACAAUUGGGUAGGUAUAAUAAAGUAUUAAACACGAGGACGAAAAUCAAGUAAUAUACAAGUCGAAUUGCCGAAGUUGACAAAGGUCACAUUAUUCGCAAUACAGUCAAUCGGUCUAAACCAGAAGCGAGUGCGCGUUGAUUUUUUAUAGCAGAAUGACACCUGUUUUUCUACUCGUUAGUUUUAGAACGACCGAGUAGUCGAACCCGGUCUAUUUCAGACAAAAAAGG